rnacentral:rRNA from 1 species
CCACUAUUCGAGGCGAAAAACAAAAGCCUAAGCACUACGACCGGCAGUGGUUAAAACUUAAAAAGCAUGGCGGCUGAUACCUAUUCCUCAGGGGAACUUACCCAGUAAUAGAUAAUCCUCAAGUGUCUUCUCAAACCCUAAUUUAUUGUUUGUAUGCCGCCGUCUUCAGGCCCCACUUUGGGUGGUACCUAGCUCUUUUUACUAAGAAUAAGACAGGUCAAGGUGCAGCUUAUGGGUUUGUCUUUAGGGCGAGUUACAAUAGAAGUUGACUAUCGGAUAAGAAUUGCCUAGAAUUUUAGGACUUGGAAGGUGGACUUGAAAGUAAUAGAAAAGAGAUACUACUAAUUGAAUACAACCGAUAGGAUCAGUGCACACACCC